rnacentral:tRNA from 1 species
UCCUGGUGGCUCAGAUGGUAAAGAGUCUGCCCUCAAUGCAGGAGACCUGGGUUCGAUCCCUGGAUCAGGAA